rnacentral:lncRNA from 1 species
AGUUCAACAUAUAGUCUACAGUUCAACAUAGUACCUUGUAGUCUACAGUUCAUCAUAGUACCUUGUAGUCUACAGUUCAACAUAUAGUCUAUAGUUCAUCAUAGUACCAUGUAGUCUACAGUUCAUCAUAGUACCUUGUAGUCUACAGUUCAACAUAUAGUCUACAGUUCAACAUAAUACCAUGUAGUCUACAGUUCAUCAUAUAGUCUAUAGUUCAUCAUAGUACCAUGUAGUCUAUAGUUCAACAUAUAGUCUACAGUUCAUCAUAGUACCUUGUAGUCUACAGUUCAACAUAAUAACAUGUAGUCUACAGUUCAACAUAGUACCUUGUAGUCUACAGUUCAUCAUAGUACCUUGUAGUCUACAGUUCAACAUGUAGUCUACAGUUCAUCAUAGUAACAUAUAGUCUACAGUUCAUCAUAGUACCAUGUAGUCUACAGUUCAACAUAGUACCUUGUAGUCUACAGUUCAACAUGUAGUCUACAGUUUAACAUAGUAACAUAUAGUCUACAGUUCAACAUAGUACCUUGUAGUCUACAGUUUAACAUGUAGUCUACAGUUCAACAUAGUACCAUAUAGUCUACAGUGUAACAUAGUACCAUGUAGUCUACAGUUCAACAUAGUACCAUAUAGUCUACAGUUCAACAUAGUACCAUGUAGUCUACAGUUCAACAUAGUACCAUAUAGUCUACAGUUCAACAUAGUACCAUGUAGUCUACAGUUCAACAUAGUACCAUGUAGUCUACAGUUCAACAUAUUGCCAUGUAGUCUACAGUUCAACAUAGUACCAUGUAGUCUACAGUUCAACAUAUUGCCAUGUAGUCUACAGUUCAACAUAGUACCAUGUAGUCUACAGUUCAACAUAUUGCCAUGUAGUCUACAGUUCAACAUAUUGCCAUGUAGUCUACAGUUCAACAUAGUACCAUGUAGUCUACAGUUCAACAUAUUGCCAUGUAGUCUACAGUUCAACAUAGUACCAUGUCGUCUACAGUUCAACAUAUUGCCAUGUAGUCUACAGUUCAACAUAGUACCAUGUAGUCUACAGUUCAACAUAUUGCCAUGUAGUCUACAGUUCAACAUAGUACCAUG